AUAUUAAAAAAUAUAAGAAUCAAUAAAAAAUUAUUAAUAUUAUAAAAAGAUUUAGUCAUAUAUUUGUAUAAAUAACAACAUUAAUGAUUUAUUCUGUAAAGAUGAAAGAAUUAAACGCAGGUGGUUCAAUCAUGAAAACAUCAAGCGAUACGAUAUAUAUUUUCUUCUGAUGCAAUAAUCGGGGACACAAAAGGUUGUCGUAUACUGUAGUUAUAAUGCUUCGAAAGGAUUAAGCGGCUGUAUGAGUUCGAAUAAUACGCCGUAUAAGCAUAAACUUGUGGAAUAGUCGAAAACAAAAGCUUGAAAUCAGUUGGUGGUCACGCAUUAUUCUUUAGAACCUUGUAUCAGUAUCAUUGGAUUAUUUAUAGUUAUAAAGGAAUUCACGGUGCGGUUAAACUGGGCCGAUGGUGGUUAUUGGAAAACUGCAUAUCAGCAAGGUCACAUCAACGAGUAUCUAAGCAUUAUAAUUAAUGAUGGAGAGAGAGAGAAACAAAAAAGAUGGAGUUGUUGCGAAAGAAUGAUAAAGAAUUCGAAAAUGACAAAAUGUCGGAAAUGACAUCUAUUAAUAAUACAGUUAUUUACGGAAACAGAACAUACGACGAAAAAAUUGUAGCUAUCGUCAUCGUUAUAUUUAUUCACACGCAGUAGUUUGGAUUGCUCUUUAGUCGCGUAUUGCAAUUUAUGUUAAUAGCAUUAUCAAUUCGUAUACCUGAAUAGAUACUUGGUAAAAAAUGUAGUUAUAGA